AUGCAAGGACCUGAAAAAUCAUUUAAAAAUACAAAUAACAAAUGCUUGGCCUCUGGAAUGAGCUGCAGGGUGUUCCAGAGCAAAGCCCUUCUCGCAUGCUGGUUCCCAAACUCUAGCUAUGUCUCCAUCCCACAGGGUCUCGUGAUGCUCCAUGCUGUGCAGGGACCAAGGCUACAAUCUGGGAGGGCCACAGGAGCCGACUCACCUCCUAUAUCCAUCUUUUUCCACAGGUUUUCCCUAUCUUUGAACACGUGUCUCCAUCAGGGACAGGGGCUGGUGGCUGCAGCCCUGACAGCAAGCAAGCUGAAGGAAUCCCUAGCAAAAUUCCUUCAUGUGACUCUUCCCUUGGUAAAACAGCCAGCUGUGAGCUUUUCCCUGAAACCCAUCCCUGCAAACACGGUGGAUCUACCAGAAACCUGAAAUGCUUUGUGUUCCUGAGACACCUUGAUAAGAGUUUUGCAAGGCAAGAGGUUCCCAAAUAACUGCUCUGAUCAUCACUACUGAAACUUUGCUUUGAAAAUAUAUUUUCUGCAAACUCACCAGCUGCCUGGGAGGUCACAGCCACAAUUCCCUGUGCCCAGAAGAGCCAUUCCCAGAACUGCACUGGGCUUAGCCAUGGAUCCAAAAUCUGCACCCUGCUCCAGCCUUUGAAUGCCUCCAAAAUCCUCCGGCAGAAGAUGUGAUCAAUGAAGCAUCUUUGAGGGGAGAAAAACCCAACCAUCAUCUGCAAAUCCUGCCACCACCCCAUCCACCUGAGCUUUGGGGGGGAGCAGCGAGCCUGGAAAUCUCCUGGAGUACUGGGUUUUGUGUGUGUGUUUUUUUUUUUAAACCAGCAUAAAAAAUUACUUUUGGCUUUUUUGAGCCAAAAUGCCACUUUGGAGCACACCAACUCCUUCAAGGAUGAGUCUCUGUGAUUUCUAAAAGCU
rnacentral:lncRNA from 1 species